rnacentral:rRNA from 1 species
UACGUAGGUGGCAAGCGUUGUCCGGAUUUACUGGGCGUAAAGAGCGCGCAGGCGGUCGUUCAAGUCGCGUGUGAAAGCCCCCGGCUCAACUGGGGAGGGUCACGCGAUACUGAUCGACUCGAAGGCAGGAGAGGGAAGCGGAAUUCCCGGUGUAGUGGUGAAAUGCGUAGAUAUCAGGAAGAACACCCGUGGCGAAGGCGGCUCUCUGGGACGGUACUGACGCUGAGGCGCGACAGCGUGGGGAGCGAACUGG